GAGGGCUUUAAGGCCUUCGAUAAUUCGAAUUUACCGAAGGCUUUUCCGACGAUCAUUUUAAGUGUAUAUUACCGAGGGCUUUUGCCCUUCGAUAUUGGGCAGUGAAUUUACCGAAGGCUUUUGCCCGUCGAUAUAAGCAUUCACUUAAUGAAAUCAGAAUUUGGGAUUUCCUUAUUCCAUUCUCCCAAAAUCCUACGAAAGUAAGGUUCCCCUUUUCUAAGUUCCUUUUCCCCUUUUCUAAGUUCCUUUUCCCUUCUCCCCUCUUCCCC
rnacentral:lncRNA from 1 species